rnacentral:rRNA from 1 species
UACGGAGGAUUCAAGCGUUAUCCGGAUUUAUUGGGUUUAAAGGGUGCGUAGGCGGGAUGCCAAGUCAGCGGUAAAAAUGCGGUGCUCAACGCCGUCGAGCCGUUGAAACUGGCGUGCUCGAGUUGGAGAGAAGUAUGCGGAAUUCGUGGUGUAGCGGUGAAAUGCAUAGAUAUCACGAAGAACCCCGAUUGCGAAGGCAGCAUACCGGCUCCACACUGACGCUGAGGCACGAAAGCGUGGGUAUCGAACAGG